AUGCAGCGGCACCUAAUGGUGACAGUUGUUAAAGCGGGGGAUCGCAAGACCUCGCGUCUGAAGAGGAGCCUGCGGCAGAUUAGCUAGUUGGUAAGGUAAAGGCUUACCAAGGCGAUGAUCUGUAGCCGGCCUGAGAGGGCGGUCGGCCACACUGACACUGACAUACGGGUCAGACUCCUACGGGAGGCAGCAGUCGGGAAUUUUGGGCAAUGGGCGAAAGCCUGACCCAGCAACGCCGCGUGAAGGAUGAAAUCCCUCGGGAUGUAAACUUCGCAAGAACGGGAAGAAUAAGUCUGCGCAAAUAUCGCAGAUGAUGACGGUACCGUUUGUAAGCUCCGGCUAACUCCGCGCCAGCAGCCGCGGUAAUACGGGGGGAGCAAGCGUUGUUCGGAUUUACUGGGCGUAAAGGGCGCGUAGGCGGCCACCGCAAGUCGACUGUGAAAUCUCCGGGCUUAACCCGGAACGGUCAGCCGAUACUGCGGGGCUAGAGUGCAGAAGGGGCAACUGGAAUUCUCGGUGUAGCGGUGAAAUGCGUAGAUAUCGAGAGGAACACCUGCGGCGAAGGCGGGUUGCUGGGCUGACACUGACGCUGAGGCGCG
rnacentral:rRNA from 1 species